ACAAUAUCACAAAUAAAAGUAAUAAAACCCUUCUGAGAUAAACAUUUGUUAAAUGCUUUGGUAAAAAUAUUUAGGUGCUUAGGUUAAAAAGUUUCAAGUUGUCUUUUGAAAUAGCGUGUUUGCUUCCCUAAUAUUUAUGGUGAAUGGGUUCCAUAGUUUUAUAGGUGUAAUAAGGCCGCAUCAUCAAUCUUCUUAUGACUGCUUCGGUUACCUCUAAUAGGCUUACAGAGUUAGCAAUAUACAUGUGUUUAUCUCACUUGACCAACUAAGAAUUUUUCUUCUAUUAAUUAUAGUAGGCUAUAAAUCUUUGCUUGCUUUAUACAUCGCUUUGGUUAAUAUGCUCAUGCGCGAGUAUAUUUGUUAUUCUUGUGUUCUUUCAAUUUUAACAUUUAUUAUAGGGCCUAUGUAAAUACCACUUUUAGAUAUUUCAAGACUUGCAGAAUCUUUUGGGAAAGCAGCUAUUGUAAAUGGACAGAUGUUGACUGAAUGUAGCUUCCGGUUUCAGCACGAGUCAACCCGUAUGGUGUCAACAGUGGAUAGCCAUUUUGAGUUAAAACGAAAGGUAGCGAUGUUAAUGUUCACGGCAUGUGUUGUUUGAAGUUGGAUUUUCUCACUCACUUGGAAUAGACUGUGGACCUGCUGAAUACAAAACUUUAAGCAUAAAUUAGCAAUGCUGUCCAAUGUGCAACAAAGGCUCAGUUGUAAGCAGAGACUCCAAACUCGAGUCCAGCACAUCUUGUAUACCGUGUGAAACAGGAACAUACAUGAAUGAGGCAAAUGGUCUCACCAGCUGCUUUCCCUGCAGCCACUGUGAAUCAGGGCAAGGGCUAUUUACACACAGAGUGGACGGUUAAAAGCAAUACUGUGUGCGAUGUUCUAGAUGGAUAUUACUGCAUACACAAUAUAAGCCCAGAGUGUAGCUUUGCAGUGAAACAUACACACUGCGCCAAAGGGCAGAGAGCUAAAGCACAAGGAACAAAGAGCACUGACAAAAUAUGUGAAGAUUGUCAACAUGGCUUUUAUUCUGAAAAUGGGGUGAACUGCACCGCUUGGACUGAUUGUGCAUCAAAAAGAAGAGUGACAACUGAAGAGGGAGGUUCUGACACAGAUGCUGUCCUGCAAAAGCAACAAGAAAGCAUUCUGUUGUAAUUGUUACAUGUAUUUAAUUAUUAAUAACAACACUUGUAAGCUCUGCAUUUACUUAAGAAAAGGUUAGUACUGUACAAUGCUAUAAGCAAAAUAAACCCAUCUAUUUUCAGAACACAGAGACUCUCAUACACUAAUGUUUUUGCCAAGUUUAAAACUUUUUACAAUUGUCUUUAGAAUGUUGCACUUCUGUAAAUGUCAUAUUCAUUCAAUCCCAGAAGAUGGCGCACGCGCCAUCUUUAGCCUACUAAAUUGUUUGGUGAUUCUAUGUAAAGUGGUCUA